rnacentral:rRNA from 1 species
UCGAGCGCCCACUUCGGUGGGAGCGGCAGACGGGUGAGUAACGCGUGGGAAUCUACCCAGCUCUACGGAACAACCCAGGGAAACUUGGGCUAAUACCGUAUACGUCCUUCGGGAGAAAGAUUUAUCGGAGUUGGAUGAGCCCGCGUUGGAUUAGCUAGUUGGUGGGGUAAUGGCCUACCAAGGCGACGAUCCAUAGCUGGUCUGAGAGGAUGAUCAGCCACAUUGGGACUGAGACACGGCCCAAACUCCUACGGGAGGCAGCAGUGGGGAAUAUUGGACAAUGGGCGAAAGCCUGAUCCAGCCAUGCCGCGUGAGUGAUGAAGGCCCUAGGGUUGUAAAGCUCUUUCAACGGUGAAGAUAAUGACGGUAACCGUAGAAGAAGCCCCGGCUAACUUCGUGCCAGCAGCCGCGGUAAUACGAAGGGGGCUAGCGUUGUUCGGAAUUACUGGGCGUAAAGCGCACGUAGGCGGAUUGUUAAGUGAGGGGUGAAAUCCCGGGGCUCAACCCCGGAACUGCCUCUCAUACUGGCAAUCUCGAGUCCGGAAGAGGUGAGUGGAAUUCCGAGUGUAGAGGUGAAAUUCGUAGAUAUUCGGAGGAACACCAGUGGCGAAGGCGGCUCACUGGUCCGGUACUGACGCUGAGGUGCGAAAGCGUGGGGAGCAAACAGGAUUAGAUACCCUGGUAGUCCACGCCGUAAACGAUGGAAGCUAGCCGUUGGCAAGUUUACUUGUCGGUGGCGCAGCUAACGCAUUAAGCUUCCCGCCUGGGGAGUACGGUCGCAAGAUUAAAACUCAAAGGAAUUG